CAAAAUGUCGUAUGUGAACUUGAACAUUUUUGUAAAUAGCAGUGAAAUAAAAACGUUGACAUUUCUGGAUUAUCCAAGAACUUAAAUUAUUUUCACAGAAAUAAAAGAAAUGUACAAUUAUUUUUUUCCCAAAGCCAUUCUACAACGAUUUUCAAGUUUUCAUACCACAUUUUGGAAGCAAACUUUACAAACAACUGACAUUGGCAAUUUUGUAAUAUGUCUUACUUCACACAUUUUGAUUGGUCUAACUGCAUGCUAUUUUGUGAUACCAAAGAUUUCUUCCCGCCCAGACCAUUGAUGUCAAAAAGUAUUUUUAGCCAAAAAAGUCAUAUACGACAUUUUAGAAGCCCAGCGACGAUAUGAUUAAUAACAUGCUGGAAACACUUGCGCAAUUCAUAUUGCCCAGCUUCAUUAAGGUGAAGUCCACCAUCUUUAAAGGCAAAUAAUGACCUAACU
rnacentral:lncRNA from 1 species